rnacentral:rRNA from 1 species
AACCCAGGCUAAUACCGCAUACGUCCUACGGGAGAAAGGGGGCUUCGGCUCCCGCUAUCGGAUGAGCCUAUGUCGGAUUAGCUAGUUGGUGAGGUAAAGGCUCACCAAGGCAACGAUCCGUAGCUGGUCUGAGAGGAUGAUCAGCCACAUCGGGACUGAGACACGGCCCGAACUCCUACGGGAGGCAGCAGUGGGGAAUAUUGGACAAUGGGGGCAACCCUGAUCCAGCCAUGCCGCGUGUGUGAAGAAGGCCCUCGGGUUGUAAAGCACUUUCAGCGAGGAAGAACGCCUAGCAAAUAAUACCCGCUAGGAAAGACAUCACUCGCAGAAGAAGCACCGGCUAACUCCGUGCCAGCAGCCGCGGUAAUACGGAGGGUGCAAGCGUUAAUCGGAAUUACUGGGCGUAAAGNNNNGCGUAGGUGGCUUGAUAAGCCGGUUGUGAAAGCCCCGGGCUCAACCUGGGAACGGCAUCCGGAACUGUCAAGCUAGAGUGCAGGAGAGGAAGGUAGAAUUCCCGGUGUAGCGGUGAAAUGCGAAGAGAUCGGGAGGAAUACCAGUGGCGAAGGCGGCCUUCUGGACUGACACUGACACUGAGGUGCGAAAGCGU